UGAACGCUGGCGGCAGGCCUAACACAUGCAAGUCGAGCGGAUGACAGGAGCUUGCUCCUGAAUUCAGCGGCGGACGGUGAGUAAUGCCUAGGAAGUCGUGCCUGGUAGUGGGGGACAACGUUUCGAAAGGAACGCUAAUACCGCAUACGUCCUACGGGAGAAAGCAGGGGACCUUCGGGCCUUGCGCUAUCAGAUGAGCCUAGGUCGGAUUAGCUAGUUGGUGAGGUAAUGGCUCACCAAGGCGACGAUCCGUAACUGGUCUGAGAGGAUGAUCAGUCACACUGGAACUGAGACACGGUCCAGACUCCUACGGGAGGCAGCAGUGGGGAAUAUUGGACAAUGGGCGAAAGCCUGAUCCAGCCAUGCCGCGUGUGUGAAGAAGGUCUUCGGAUUGUAAAGCACUUUAAGUUGGGAGGAAGGGUUUGUAGAUUAAUACUCUGCAAUUUUGACGUUACCGACAGGAUAAGCACCGGCUAACU
rnacentral:rRNA from 1 species